rnacentral:rRNA from 1 species
UACGUAGGUGGCGAGCGUUGUCCGGAAUUACUGGGCGUAAAGGGCGUGUAGGCGGAUAUUUAAGUCAGAUGUGAAAACCCCGGGCUCAACUUGGGGACUGCAUUUGAUACUGGAUAUCUUGAGGACAGGAGAGGAAAGCGGAAUUCCUAGUGUAGCGGUGAAAUGCGUAGAUAUUAGGAGGAACACCAGUGGCGAAGGCGGCUUUCUGGACUGUAACUGACGCUGAGGCGCGGAAGCGUGGGGGGCGAACGGG